AAAAAGGCAAACCCUGGGUUUCCGUGUCCAACUUUAACUGUCCGUCUUAUAUGAAAUUUUUUUAUAAUUCGUAUUUUCAUUGUUGUUAGAUGAUAAAAUAUGAUUAAUAUUUUAUGCGUGACUUGUCUUUUUAUUUUUUUUUAUAUUUUUUUCAAAUAAGACGAACGGUCAAACGUUGGGCACGGAAAUC
rnacentral:pre_miRNA from 1 species